UGGCCUAUGGUGUAAUUGGCAGCACGACUGAUUCUGGUUCAGUUAGUCUUGGUUCGAGU
rnacentral:tRNA from 1 species